rnacentral:rRNA from 1 species
AUUGAACGCUGGCGGCAGGCCUAACACAUGCAAGUCGAGCGGAUGAAGGGAGCUUGCUCCUGGAUUCAGCGGCGGACGGGUGAGUAAUGCCUAGGAAUCUGCCUGGUAGUGGGGGAUAACGUCCGGAAACGGGCGCUAAUACCGCAUACGUCCUGAGGGAGAAAGUGGGGGAUCUUCGGACCUCACGCUAUCAGAUGAGCCUAGGUCGGAUUAGCUAGUUGGUGGGGUAAAGGCCUACCAAGGCGACGAUCCGUAACUGGUCUGAGAGGAUGAUCAGUCACACUGGAACUGAGACACGGUCCAGACUCCUACGGGAGGCAGCAGUGGGGAAUAUUGGACAAUGGGCGAAAGCCUGAUCCAGCCAUGCCGCGUGUGUGAAGAAGGUCUUCGGAUUGUAAAGCACUUUAAGUUGGGAGGAAGGGCAGUAAGUUAAUACCUUGCUGUUUUGACGUUACCAACAGAGUAAGCACCGGCUAACUACGUG